AUUUAUGGCCAUGCUACCCUGAACAAGCCCAAUCCUGUCUGAUCUCAGAAGCUAAGCAGGGUCAAGUGUGUUUAGUACUUGGAUGGGAGACCACCUAAGAAGACCAGGUGCUGUAGGCA
rnacentral:rRNA from 1 species